UACGUAGGUGGCAAGCGUUGUCCGGAUUUACUGGGCGUAAAGAGCGCGCAGGCGGUCGAAUAAGUCGAAUGUGAAAGCCCCCGGCUCAACUGGGGAGGGUCAUUCGAUACUGUUCGACUUGAAGGCAGGAGAGGGAAGCAGAAUUCCCGGUGUAGUGGUGAAAUGCGUAGAUAUCGGGAGGAAUACCAGUGGCGAAGGCGGCUUCCUGGGUCGAUACUGACGCUGAGGUGCGAAAGCGUGGGGAGCAAACAGG
rnacentral:rRNA from 1 species